rnacentral:rRNA from 1 species
GAUGAACGCUGGCGGCGUGCCUAAUACAUCCAAGUCGAGCGAACAGACGAGGAGCUUGCUCCUCUGACGUUAGCGGCGGACGGGUGAGUAACACGUGGAUAACCUACCUAUAAGACUGGGAUAACUUCGGGAAACCGGAGCUAAUACCGGAUAAUAUAUUGAACCGCAUGGUUCAAUAGUGAAAGACGGUUUUGCUGUCACUUAUAGAUGGAUCCGCGCCGCAUUAGCUAGUUGGUAAGGUAACGGCUUACCAAGGCAACGAUGCGUAGCCGACCUGAGAGGGUGAUCGGCCACACUGGAACUGAGACACGGUCCAGACUCCUACGGGAGGCAGCAGUAGGGAAUCUUCCGCAAUGGGCGAAAGCCUGACGGAGCAACGCCGCGUGAGUGAUGAAGGUCUUCGGAUCGUAAAACUCUGUUAUUAGGGAAGAACAAAUGUGUAAGUAACUAUGCACGUCUUGACGGUACCUAAUCAGAAAGCCACGGCUAACUACGUG